rnacentral:snoRNA from 1 species
AUUCUACUAUGUUGACAAUUUCUAACUAUCUCCUUAAACCUCUCCCAUGCUUCAAAAACAAUUUCAGUCUCUUUCUCGUAGAAGUUAUGGAUUUAUCUUCUAAUCUU